UUUUAUUUUCCUCCCUUCUUGUUUGCAGCUUCAAUGGAGAAUAUGCACAUUUACUAUCUUGAUGGGUGGUAAUUCUUGUAUUUGGUGAUAAGUCAGAUGGUUAAUUUCACUAAUUAGGAAUCCAACCUGGUACCGGAGGAGUUUGUUGUAUUGAUCUUGAUACUCUGUUUAGUCAUGGAGAUAAUUGCAGUAUUUGCAAGCUUAAAGUUCAGAAGGGAAAUGCAAAUGUUAGAUUUUUAGUUGGAGCUAGCUAGGAAUUCAUGGGAGAAUGAAAUACUGUUCAGUGGGGAAACAGUGGCAAAAAUAACUGAUCUAACGAAAGCAAUUUGAUUUAAAAAAUAAUAAUAAGAGGGGUUGUUCUUGUGUAUCAUUGCAAGAAGAAAUGCAAUCAUGUAAUAAGAACAAUUCAUAAACUGACAAAAUAAAACAAAUAUCAAUUCUAUCAAGAAAACAUUAAACAUAGAGGACCACUACCUACCAGAGAGACGAUCAUGUGUGUAUAGGAGAGCAGAUUGCAUAAUUGAAUUAUUUGCUACUAGCCGAAUCGCUAUUGGAUAAAAUUUUCUAAUUGCUUAUUACCAUGAAAGCAAUCAAGAAAACAAGACAAGGCUCUUUAAAGAUUUGCAUAUCCAAAUUUGUCUUAUAAACUUUCGUCUUUUCUUCAAUUGCAUGCAUAGCAACUAAGCUCCAUUGAAGAAAUAAAGACAGAGAGACUGAAAGAGAAUAAGAGAAAUUUCAACUCCAGUUACACCCUGCCCCAUAUGUUAUAUUAGAAUUGAUCAAUAACUAAUAUAAUGUGAUAUAAUAAAGACGCUUUUGAUGAGUCACCUAAUUAAAAACAUUAGGAUAUUUGAUUCAGUGGUAAACAAAUUAAGAGCUCUCCAAUAUUAGAGUGAGUUGGAGUCUUAUUUACCUUAACAUUGGCAUUUGUAUCUCCUUUUUCAUUGAAUCCCACGAUGUUGAUUUGGAAAAGGGUAAUGUGCCUCUUGUAUGGGCUAUAGGCAUUUACUUUCAGUUAUCGGCAUUUGUAUGUCCUUUUUCAUUGAAUCCCACCAUUUGGAAAAGGGUAACGUGGCUAUAGACACUCCUCCUUUGGGCUGAGUUAGGUCCGGCCCAAGUUUAACAUGAUAUCAUAGCUUACCGCACCAGUAAAGUUUUGGACGCGUUGAAUCCCACACCAGUUUGAGAAAGGUAAUAUGCUCUUUAUAUGGGCUAUAGACACUUCUCCCUUUUGAUUUGAUUUAGCUUUUUGGCUUUUUGGUGAAUUAGACCUGACCCAAAUUUAAUUGUUUUGAUUUUACCUGUACGACACAUUAUUAUACUCCUAGCUUUAGGCUUUAUUGAGCUUAGCCAAGUUAAGGGAAUACUAGAAGCACUAUUCUUAAUCAGAUAUGAUAAUAUGAACAUAUUUUCAGUUUUUUUGUUUCAAUUACUUCAGUAAUUGUGGCAGAGUGAUGGAGAAUGCAUGGCUGGUCAGCUUGCAUCAUUUGGUUAAGCUCCAUUAACUGACAUUCCUGGGGAUGCUGGUUUGUGGUGGCUGAUAAAACGGGAGCAUCCUUCAUCCUUCUCUCUCCCAUCUAUUUCCUUUCUGUCAAUUUCUUAUUUUCAUGAAGAGUGUUGUAAUUUUUCCUGCAAUCACUGGGAAAUAAUAAUUAAUUAUGUAUCAUAUGCCAGUCUUUGAUUGUUUUCACUUUGGUGUUUGUUAGUUUGUUGCCCAUGGUUUUAUUUAGAGACUAGUAAAAAAUGCUUCUUCAAUUUCAUUCAUUUAUUGUUUUCAUAAUUUAUUAUAAACUUCUGAACAAAAUUGAAAUUGUUUGUUUCUUGGGUACAUAUCCUAUCUGCUAGGGCUUCUUCCCUGGGUGCAUGCAUGCUUGGACUUGAAUAAACGAGACUAUUUUUCUGUGGAAGCUUUAACACUGGUUGGAAAUUGAAUGUUGCCAUGUAACCAGGUUCUCCAUCAGGAAGAAUAGAAAUUAGAGAAGAAUCAGAGAGAGACAUAGAGCUUAGCUAGAAGUGAAUAGAGAGAAUUAGAGAGAAGGUGAUUGACGUCUUGAUAUUGCUUAGAAUGAAUCUUCUGUUACACUUGCUGUUAUAUACAGCCAUAUUUCCUUCUCCUUAACUUUGCCUGCCAUAUUCAGUCCCUAACUAGUCUAUUUAUUUAGCUACAAUAGCUAGAACUGUUCAACAGAAAUACAAAAUACUUACAACUUCAGUUUGCCCCGAACACCCUUGCUCCUAUAUGUGGCAAUUCCCAUUUCAUGAGUGCAUUCUUGUCCCUAGGAAUUCUCAAACUAUGGAAUAUGCCUGAUAAAUAAAUGUUUUCUCAAGUGGGCUCUCAGCUGGUAUCUUAGUACAUUGAGUGAGACCUUUGUUAACUUGCUACUGAACCUUUUUUGCAGCAACUUGGAGAUGGUUUAUUGUUUUAUUGUUAACAAACAACUGCCGCAAGGGCCAGAGAUUUUUUUUCCCUCUGUCCUUUUAUUUUGAACUCAUUAUCUUUGAGAUUAAAUGAUUGCAGUGUCUCAAGGAGCACAUUUUCUUAUGUCUUCUUUUAAUUUCGAAACUCAUUCUGUUUGAGUAUUAUUGAUAACAUGAUCUUAGCUCAAAUAAACCUCCAUCAAGAACAAGAGUAGCUCUGGAAAUAAAAGCUAUUGGAUCCUGUCUGUACCCUACACUUAAGAACGUUGAACAGUAAUGGGGCUAUAGAAAUGUUUUGUUUGGUAGAGUAGUUGAAAUAUUACAACGGACUGGAGAUUGUAGAAGUCAAUAGAAACAUGAUUGAGUGUUUUAUGCUGUGUUUGUAGGUUUAUCUGUGUAGCCCUUUUAGUUGGUCAGUCUAAAGUUGUUUCGGAAUACACCAAAUCAACCUGUCUUAUGUAGUCAGGUCAGGUUGGCUGCUUUCAGCUUUGGAACAUCACACUUGCAAAUAAGGGUGCAUCACUUCACAUGAAACUUAUGUUCAAUAGAAAUGUAAUGAUACUACAAUAGAGCAAACUUAGAGAUGUCACUGGGCUCUAAUGCAUAUGUUUCUACUAGCAUUAUCUGACAGAAUCUAGUGCAUUUCUCGUGCUGGUAUCAUCUUGUAUCUUCUCUCCGAAUCCAGGGACACCUGCUGACAGGAUGAAGAAAGUUCCAAGUAACAGUGGAGAAAAGUAGCCGUGAAUUGACUUCCAUAUUUGAAGCUUUCCCUCCAUAUAAUGGAAAUAAGUGUAGAGUGGAAAGAAUAUAGAUAACUGAAAUAGCAACAGAAGGUAUUUACUCGGUUGGCCAAAGCAAGGGACAUAUGCAAGUGCUUGCAGUUGCUUCAGAAGGAAAGCUAGGUACUUCAGCUAUUGUUAAAGUCGUCUGUUUUUGGAGAAGUGAUUCAGACUCAACUAGAUGGAUGGAAACUUGUGUGUGUUCGAAGGAACCGGUGCCUUGUGUUUGUGGACCAGAGAGCUGUGAAUGACAUAACUCUUUGGAAGAAAGUGGCCUUCCACAGGAUGAUAUGCUACCGGAUUGAAAUAGCAAGCAUGGACCAGAGGGAACCAGAGGAUGUGUAGCAUUGUGGAUGCUGAGCAUUGUGACUAGAGCUCUUGUAGGAGGACUUCUUGUCUGCCUGUUGGCUUUUGUUUCGAGCUUGUGUCUCGAAAGGGCAAUAAAAUUAUUACUGAUAUAGUUUAAACUAUAUUUACCAAAUAUUUUACCAAGAUAUGGUUAAACUAUAUUUACGAAAUAUUUUAUCCUCUGAUGGGCUCAUGACUAGCCUUAAUUUUAUACAUCUUUGUUAA